UUUUUUUGAGAGUUUGAUCCUAGCUCAGGAUGAACGCUGGCGGCGUGGAUAAGGCAUGCAAGUCAUGGGGGUCCAGUUGGCGCAAGCCGACUGGGCAACCGGCAAACGGGUUCAUAACACGUGGAUACUAACCCCUUUCACGGGCAUAACCAGUCGAAAGAUUGGCUAAUUCCCGAUGGUCUCGCAAGAGUAAAGCCCGCCUUUGGCGGGCGGAAUGGGAUAGGUCCGCGGCUUAUCAGCUAGUUGGUAGGGUAAUGGCCUACCAAGGCUAUGACGGGUAGGGGGCGUGAGAGCGCGACCCCCAACAUUGGGACUGAGACACUGCCCAGACACCUACGGGUGGCUGCAGUCGAGAAUAUUGGUCAAUGGGCGAAAGCCUGAACCAGCGACGCCGCGUGCUCGAAGAAGUUCUUCGGAAUGUAAAGAGCUUUUCCCAGGGAGAAAGCCGCAAGGCUGAUUGUACCUGGGGAAUAAGGAGUUGCUAACUCUGUGAACCCAUUAAGGGUUGGCGCAGAGCUUCUCCAGCAAUGGAGAAUAGGAAAACUUAGCUUAUAUGCUGGGACAUCUUUCGUUGUCCGCUGAAUGUUUCCAAAAGGAACGCGACGAAAGACAAUCAGCAGGGAAGUUGUUAUAAUUAGAGUGAUAAAAUGGCUAAGAUUUCUGAAAAACAAAAAGCGAUUAUUUUAGGUACACUUUUAGGCGAUGGCUACAUCUAUCAAGAUAAGUAUGGAGGCUGCCGCUUAGAAAUAAAGCAUUGUAAAAGUCAAAAAGAUUAUGUUUUUUGGCUUUAUGAAAAACUACGGACGAUUUGUCCGGGUAAACCUAAAGAAAGGGCUGAUAAUCAUCAGUGGAAAUUCAAUACUGAAUCCAAUUCUGAUGUAAUUAGUUUUAGGAAAUUAUUUUAUCCGAAAGGAAUAAAAAUAGUUCCUCGCAAUAUUUCAGAAAUUUUAACCAAACCUCUUAGUCUCGCGAUUUGGUAUAUGGAUGACGGGAGCUUAGAUUUUAGACCAAAAAGUCAUUGUGCUUUCAGUUUAAAGACUAAUGCUUUCACGCUAGAAGAAUGCCGACUAUUAUCCAAAAUUUUAGAUAAUAAUUUCGGAAUUAAAUCUUCUGUCCAAUAUCCACUUUGUCGAGGCAAAAGAUAUCCUCAAAUUUAUAUCGGAAAGAGUGGUCGCGAUCAAUUCGUAAAGACGAUCGCGCCAUUUAUUAUAAAUUGUUUCCAAUAUAAAUUACCUCAUUAUAAUUAACCCCUCAGAGACUUGUCUCGUUAUUGAGACGGAUGGGUGCUUUUAAACAUCCAUAACACGCUAAGCUCCUCGCAAGAGGAUGAUGAUAUAGUCCAUUUAACUAUCAAGUUAGAUAGCCAGCAGCAGCGGUAAUACAGAGACUCCAAGCGUUAUCCGGAUUUAUUGGGCGUAAAGGGUCCGUAGGCGGUAAGAAUAGUCUUUGGUCAAAUACUCAGGGCUUAACCUCGAGGACGCCAGAGAUACUUUCUAACUAGAAGGCGCUAGGGGCUGAUGGAACGGUCGGUGUAGGGGUGAAAUCCGUUGAUAUCGACCGGAACACCAAAAGCGAAGGCAUUCAGCUGGGGCGACCUUGACGCUGAGGGACGAAAGCGUGGGCAUANNNNNNNNNNNNNNNNAAAAACUUGGCUGUAUCGGUGAAAACCCAACCUAAAAAGUUGGAUGAUACCGAGGAAACCGUUUUUCAUAAAACGGGAUCCGUAGAGACUAAACGCCAGGCAAUUCUAUUAGUAACUGAAAUAAGGAAAAUGCAGGAGGUGAAAAAUGUUAAAAUCAUUGAACUUUAAGUAUUUCGUUAGGCAAUUAAAGCGGUACAUGGAUGAAAAAGAAUUACUUAAGAUUUAUUACAAAACUCCAUCUACUUCAACAUUCUGUUACAUAGGUUUUAUCGCAAGGAUUGAUGGAAAUAAUAUUAUUCUAAAAAGUGUUGAAUUCGACUACGUAAAAGAUGAGGUGCAGGAAUGGAAAUUGACGGACCGGGAAAUUCCCAUCCAGCAUAUCUUAAUCGGUGCCAUGGAGGAUGCCGAGAAGGAAGUUAUUGGCGAAUGGAUUGAAAAAGAAAGCGGAAUAAAACUGCAUUAAACAAUAGAGGAGAAAGGUUUCCUUUCUCCUCCUUAUUCCAGUUACUAAUAGGUUGAUGAUAUAGUCCGAUCUUUGCAGUAAUGCAAAGAGUUAGGCAGAAAUGUCCUAACCGUUGUGAAGAACAACAGUAACAAAUUGUAGAUACCCUUGUAUUCCACGCUGUAAACGAUGAAUACUGGCUAUUUGAAGUGUCGACCCUUCAAGUGGCGAAGCUAACGCGUUAAGUAUUCCGCCUGGGAAGUACGACGGCAACGUUAAAACUCAAAGGAAUAGACGGGGAUUCACACAAGCGGUGGAUCAUGUGGCUCAAUUC
rnacentral:rRNA from 1 species